CUUGAAAAAGGGAGUUCAAGAAGAGCUUCGAAGAAGCUUUCUUGAUGGAGGGGAGCGGCAGACGGGUGAGUAACGCGUGGGAACAUACCCUUAUCUUCGGAACAACUCCGGGAAACUGGGGCUAAUACCGAAUGUGCCCUUAGGGGGAAAGAUUUAUCGGAUAAGGAUUGGCCCGCGUUGGAUUAGCUAGUUGGUGGGGUAAAGGCCUACCAAGGCGACGAUCCAUAGCUGGUCUGAGAGGAUGAUCAGCCACAUUGGGACUGAGACACGGCCCAAACUCCUACGGGAGGCAGCAGUGGGGAAUAUUGGACAAUGGGCGCAAGCCUGAUCCAGCCAUGCCGCGUGAGUGAUGAAGGCCUUAGGGUUGUAAAGCUCUUUCACCGGAGAAGAUAAUGACGGUAUCCGGAGAAGAAGCCCCGGCUAACUUCGUGCCAGCCGCCGCGGUAA
rnacentral:rRNA from 1 species